rnacentral:rRNA from 1 species
UACGUAGGUGGCGAGCGUUGUCCGGAUUUACUGGGCGUAAAGAGCGCGCAGGCGGUCGUUUCAAGUCGCGUGUGAAAGCCCCCGGCUCAACUGGGGAGGGUCACGCGAUACUGAUCGACUCGAAGGCAGGAGAGGGUAGUGGAAUUCCCGGUGUAGUGGGUGAAAUGCGCAGAUAUCAGGAGGAACACCGAUGGCGAAGGCAGCUCGCUGGGACGG